GGGCCCGUGGCGGAACGGCAGACGCGGCGGACUUAAAAUCCGCUGCCCCGCGAGGGGCGUGUGGGUUCGACUCCCACCGGGCCCA
rnacentral:tRNA from 1 species